rnacentral:rRNA from 1 species
AGCAGCCGCGGUAAUUCCAGCUCCAAUAGCGUAUAUUAAAGUUGUUGCAGUUAAAAGCUCGUAGUUGAAUUUCGGGAUCAAUCUGCCGGUCGUGCCUCCGGUAUGCACUGGUUUUAUUGGUUUCUCCCUUCUGACGAAUCAUGAUGUCAUUAAUUUGGUGUCAUGGGGAAUCAGGACUGUUACUUUGAAAAAAUUAGAGUGUUUAAAGCAGGCUCACGCUUGAAUACAUUAGCAUGGAAUAAUGAAAUAGGACGUUUGACCCUAUUUUGUUGGUUUCUAGGAUCGACGUAAUGAUUAAUAGGGAUAGUUGGGGGCAUUAGUAUUCAAUUGUCAGAGGUGAAAUUCUUGGAUUUAUUGAAGACUAACUACUGCGAAAGCAUUUGCCAAGGAUGUUUUCAUUAAUCAAGAACGAAAGUUAGGGGAUCGAAGACGAUCAGAUACCGUCGUAGUCUUAACCAUAAACUAUGCCGACUAGGGAUCAGAUGAUGUUAUUUUUUAAUGACUCAUUCGGCACCUUACG